GUUGAGGAAGGUGGGGAUGACGUCAAAUCAUCAUGCCCUUUAUGACCUGGGCUACAAACGUACUACAAUGGCCAAUACAAAGAGAUGCGAAGCGGUGACGUGAAAGCGAACCUCAGAAAGUUGGUCUCAGUUCAGAUUGAAGUCUGCAACUCGACUUCAUGAAGGCGGAAUCGCUAGUAAUCGCGGGUCAGCAGACCGCGGUGAAUACGUUCCCGGGUUUU
rnacentral:rRNA from 1 species